GGGAUCAUUACCGAGUUUACAACUCCCAAACCCCUGUGAACAUACCUAUUGUUGCCUCGGNGGUGCCUGUUCCGACAGCCCGCCAGAGGACCCCAAACCCUGAUUACAUUAAAGAAUUCUUCUGAGUAACCGAUUAAAUAAAUCAAAACUUUCAACAACGGAUCUCUUGGUUCUGGCAUCGAUGAAGAACGCAGCGAAAUGCGAUAAGUAAUGUGAAUUGCAGAAUUCAGUGAAUCACCGAAUCUUUGAACGCACAUUGCGCCCGCUAGUAUUCUGGCGGGCAUGCCUGUUCGAGCGUCAUUUCAACCCUCAAGCCCCCGGGCUUGGUGUUGGGGAUCGGCGAGCCUCCGCGCCCGCCGUCCCCUAAAUCUAGUGGCGGUCUCGCUGUAGCUUCCUCUGCGUAGUAGCACACCUCGCACUGGGAAACAGCGCGGCCACGCCGUUAAACACCCAACUUCUGAAAGUUUGACCUCGGAUCAGGUAGGAAUACCCGCUGAACUUAAGCAUAUCAAUAAGCGGAGGAAAAGAAACCAACAGGGAUUGCCCUAGUAACGGCGAGUGAAGCGGCAACAGCUCAAAUUUGAAAUCUGGCCUUCGGGUCCGAGUUGUAAUUUGUAGAGGAUGCUUUUGGUGAGGUGCCUUCCGAGUUCCCUGGAACGGGACGCCAUAGAGGGUGAGAGCCCCGUCUGGUUGGACACCGAUCCUCUGUAAAGCUCCUUCGACGAGUCGAGUAGUUUGGGAAUGCUGCUCUAAAUGGGAGGUAUAUGUCUNCNGAAGCUAAAUAUUGGCCAGAGACCGAUAGCGCACAAGUAGAGUGAUCGAAAGAUGAAAAGCACUUUGAAAAGAGAGUUAAAAAGUACGUGAAAUUGUUGAAAGGGAAGCGCUCAUGACCAGACUUGGGCUUGGUUGAUCAUCCAGGGUUCUCCCUGGUGCACUCUUCCAGUUCAGGCCAGCAUCAGUUCGCUGUGGGGGAUAAAGGCUUUGGGAAUGUGGCUCCCUCGGGAGUGUUAUAGCCCAUUGUGUAAUACCCUGUGGUGGACUGAGGUUC
rnacentral:rRNA from 1 species